UACGGAGGAUCCGAGCGUUAUCCGGAUUUAUUGGGUUUAAAGGGUGCGCAGGCGGGGGAUUAAGUCGGCGGUGAAAUUUUGCAGCUCAACUGUAAAAGUGCCUUCGAAACUGGUUUUCUUGAGUUCGGGAGAGGAGAGCGGAAUUCUUGGUGUAGCGGUGAAAUGCAUAGAUAUCACGAGGAACUCCGAUUGCGCAGGCAGCUUACUAAACUACUACUGACGCUCAGGCACGAAGGCGUGGGGAUCAAACAGGAUUAGAUACCCCGGUAGUCCCUGAG
rnacentral:rRNA from 1 species